CAGCCGCGCAGGUGCGGCGCUGAGGGGCGCGCUUAGCGGCCGUGCCCGUCUCAGUGCUCGUCUCCAGCCUCAACGGCUCUGUGAUUGCCGGGUGUCUGAGGAGCCUCUAGCAGAGUCCAGAUUCCUGCCGAGGACUGAGCGCUCAGCUUUCCAGACAUUCGUUGCAGUUUCUCUUUUCACCCCGCACUGACGUUUACACGUGCUGAAUAGAGACCGAACGCAGACCUUAGCGCAGAGCGGGCGCGCUCGCUUCCAGCCUUCGUGGCCACAUAGGCGCUGAGCGCGCUGCUGAGCGCUGCCCGGUAGGGCCCGAGCCGCGUGCGCGCUGCGGGGAGCAGCCCGGUCCCGUGGUGCACGUAAUGGGGAAGAGCUGGAUGUCUCGGGCCGUUAAAGCAGUUGCUGUACGAGCAGGACGGCCGGCCGGCCCGCCCUGCAGGGCCGCAGGAGGAAGCGCGUUGAGAUGGCUGCGUGCCCCUCUGUUUGUGCAGCUGGGAGGGCUGAGGGAAGUGAGAGGAGCCAGGUGGGCAGCUGCAUGGAAAAAUAGCGUGCAGGGGUGCCCGGCUGCAGGGACCACCGCACUGCCUGUUAUGUGCAACUGGGAUCGUUUCCCAUGGGAAAUCCCUCAGGAAAGUUUUCUCAAGAGUUCAGGAAAGAGGAAAACGCCUUUUUUGUUGCUGGGAGAUCACUUAAUGUUGUCAAACACAGUUUUGUGAAUUGUAAUGCUGUCUUGUGCUGGCUGCCACUUGCAAGAAGGAAUGCUGUAACUCAACUUUUAGCCUCUUUCUCCUGCGCAGAUCGGAGAAAAUAGAAAGUUGGGCUUGGAAACUGAUUCUGCCUCUGUGUGAGUGAGUGUAAAAGGAAUGAUCUCACCAGUCUGCUGCUCUGCACCUCGGUGAUGAUGGCUCAUCUCGGUCCAACUGCUGUAACUACACGUGCAGAAAAGUAAUCCUGGUGGAAAUACUGGCAGGGCAGGCAAACUGGAAUCAAGCCACACGUACAAAAUAAACCACUCCUGAAAUAACAGAAAAAAAAAUUGUAUGAAUAUUUAGGACUAAAAUGAUUUGUUUUCGUUUCAUUUUAAAAAAUAAAU
rnacentral:lncRNA from 1 species